UAGAACCCACAAAGGGUGU
rnacentral:snRNA from 1 species